rnacentral:rRNA from 1 species
CCCUUAGAUGUUCUGGGCCGCACGCGCGCUACACUGACGGAGCCAACGAGUAUUUUCCUUGUCCGGAAGGACUGGGUAAUCUUGUGAAACUUUGUCGUGCUGGGGAUAGAGCAUUGUAAUUAUUGCUCUUCAACGAGGAAUUCCUAGUAAGCGUGAGUCAUCAGCUCGCGUUGAUUACGUCCCUGCCCUUUGUACACACCGCCCGUCGCUCCUACCGAUUGAAUGUGUUGGUGAGGAGCUCGGAUUGGCAGCAGUUGGUGGUUCGCCACCGGCUAUUGCUGAGAAGUCCUCCAAACCGCCCCAUUUAGAGGAAGGAGAAGUCGUAACA